UAAUAUCAGAGAAGGGGAGCCCAGCAGAGCCUAGAAGGACUCCAGAAGCCGAGAAGCAACGUCGUGGUGGGGAGGGCUUCUUUUUGGCGAGGCUGCUAUGGAAUACUUGGGGCCAAAGACGGAGCAAAGCCCCAGAGAAAAGGCAAUGGUUCAUGUCCCCAGGAAUUUGCAUCAGACCCAGCAGACACAGCCUGCAGGGUCAGAGAGGCGUUCUCCAAACCCUGGAAAUCACUGGCCAGCCAGUCCUGAUGGCAAGGCCAUCAGCCCAGGUCUCCAUCCACAAAAAGCCGAACAGGCUGGGUCAGAACCAAGGCCAAUAUAUUCACUGAAAAGACAGAUUUCUCAGCCUCUGUCUCCUGCCGUUUUCAAACAUCACACUGGGAGCGUGAAUUGAGACCGGAAUCCUGAUUUGCUCCCUGAUCAAUUUGGACAAUGCUGGACAAUGCAGUGGUCCCUUCUGUUUCUUCCAAUGUGUGUCCAGCGAAGUGACCUCAGAAUUACGUCUCUCUGAGCCACCUUGUAGCAGCUAGAGAGAGAACUCACACAGAUCAGAACUUCUCAGGUGUACAUGCCCCUCAAAAAUGCAUCUUUGAUUGGCACAACAUUGUAAAUCAACUACAGUUUUAAAAAGCGUGGGGGAGGGAUGCAUCUUUGAGCAUCCUGUUGCAAAGUAAGUAAGGACAAUGAAGUAUGAUUUUUUUUUUCAACAAAGCUUUUCAUUGAAAGGAUUGUCCUCUAUGCUGAGAUUACAGUUUGCUUAUCUUAGGGUAUAAUAAUGUGCAUUUUGUGUGUGUCAAGUGCAUGCCUGGACUUGACAAAAUAAAAAGUAGGCAAACACAUGUUUCCCUGCAUUACCACUUAAUUUAAAAAAAACAAUAAUUUUACCAGCUCAUGAAAUAAAAAAGCUGGAAACACUGAUAUGGACCACCCUGGGUGUUUGGGGAAAGCAAAUAACUUCCAGAUUAGCAGCUACCUGGAACAUUUUCCCCCAGACUGUAGUCCCAUGGGCUUUUGUUGCAUAAAAUAUUUCAUGUCUCUUACACAUGUGACUAUGGCAAAUGAGGGUGAAAGGAGCUUAACGAGAGUUCAUAGGUCCCCAAUAAACCAAUGGUGGACUAGUAAGGAGGACAAAAGGUCAAGUGUGCUGCCUCUACUCCCAUCCCUGAUACAACCCUGCCUUUGUGCAAAAAGGCCUGAGUCCAUUUGCUGUUGAUGCUGAUCCAGUACUUCCCAACACUAUGUUAAUACUUUAAAAUUUUUUAAAUGAAACAUCUUUCACUAGAGCUUCAACUUCCACCAGGAUUUGUUUGGGUUUGAAAAGAUCACUUUUUUUGGUGGGGGUCCAAUAUUGUAAAUUACUCCUCUGAUCACUCUAACUAGCAGGUUCCAAACUUGGCUGGCCAUGAGGCCUCACUGUUAAUAACAUCUCCUGAAUUAUGCAAUGUUUUGCCCUAUCCACUCAUGUUUGCCAAUGCUGCCUCAGCAAGUAUUUCUAGAACACCCUGAGAAGAGCUGAUGUGGUUCUCUGAAGCUUUCCUGGGGGUUACGUGAUGCUGCAGCCAGGCUGGGGCCUUCACACACAUGGCCCUGGGUCAUGCCCUUGUUCCAGGCCUUUCCUUCUGAGUACCAGUCUCCCUUAUCCUCUCCCUUCCCAGGCCUUUGUGAUUAAUUUCUGCGGCCCCUUCCUAGAAUGACUACUUGUUCAAAUCCAUCCCUUCCUCCAAGGUUGACCUCAAGCCACAUUUUUUCUCUAGGAAUUCUAAGAUCCCUAGCAUACAAAUAGCCUCCUCUUCUCUUUUUCUGCUGCACUUUGUAACCCCCAAAUCCAAGGCACAGGUAAUGAAUGCUGCAAGAGUUAUUUAGCUGACUGUCUUCCACCACUUCCCACCAUCAUACGAGCCUCAGACACAGGGACUAGAGCAUGCUCUUCUUUUUUUUUUAAACUCACCAAAGCACUGACAGGGUAUAUUGAAUGCAGUAAGUCUGGUGAGUACUAAAUAAAACUGAAUCGCCUUGAAUUCUCA